GCGGUAGGCUGUAGUCCUAUUUACAUUGGUUUAAUUCCUUUCUUUAUCA
rnacentral:tRNA from 1 species